rnacentral:rRNA from 1 species
AUUGAACGCUGGCGGCAUGCUUUACACAUGCAAGUCGAACGGUAACAGGCCGCAAGGUGCUGACGAGUGGCGAACGGGUGAGUAAUGCAUCGGAACGUGCCCAGUCGUGGGGGACAACUACUCGAAAGAGUAGCUAAUACCGCAUACGAUCUAUGGAUGAAAGCGGGGGACCGUAAGGCCUCGCGCGAUUGGAGCGGCCGAUGUCAGAUUAGGUAGUUGGUGGGGUAAAGGCUCACCAAGCCAACGAUCUGUAGCUGGUCUGAGAGGACGACCAGCCACACUGGGACUGAGACACGGCCCAGACUCCUACGGGAGGCAGCAGUGGGGAAUUUUGGACAAUGGGCGCAAGCCUGAUCCAGCAAUGCCGCGUGCAGGAAGAAGGCCUUCGGGUUGUAAACUGCUUUUGUACGGAACGAAACGGCUCUGGUUAAUACCCGGGGCUAAUGACGGUACCGUAAGAAUAAGCACCGGCUAACUACGUG